CUUUUAAAAGCAGACACAUCAAAACUCAGAGACUCCGGAAACCCAAUCGCCUGUUCAUUGAAGAUAAGGAUUAAACUCCAACUGGAGACAUAAACUGCCAUAUUCCAAGGAAGAAAAAACUCAAACUUGCAGCUCAAUGAUGAGCAGAGGAAGAGAUUCUUUCUGAAGACAACCAUUUUACCCCAGCAAUCCAGAGUCCAAGAGAAUCUUCAGUGAAUGAAAAUGCUGCCCAAAUCCAGAACUUUAGAACCAGGGCAAGGCUUUUUAGAAGGAAAACAACAGACUGCGCAACAUGGUCAUUCCAGCUUUGUUAGUGGACAUGAGACAAAUUCUAAACAAGAAAAAUUCUACAAAAGAUGUAUGUGAGAUUGAAAGUGAGGGUAAAAGUGCACCUAUCAAACCAUCCAAAGUGAAACUUGGAACCAUCGCUGUCUCCAUUCAUUGUUGUGCGACUGCAAAAGCUCAAGAUGCUGUCGUAAAACAACAUCCAGGGACCAGGGUAUCUGAUAUACGAAAAACAAUCAACACAAGAAUUUGUGAAUUAAGGCA
ensembl:lncRNA